ACAGUUAAUUUAUGUUAGACAAGUAAGUAAGAGUUGAAUUCCCCACAUCAUUACAAGAUUUUAUCAGUCUAGUUCUAUUGAAGUAUAUGAAUACGCCGGGGAUUACAGUCUCAACGAGAAAUCAUUUCUCACUCACUGUAAACGUCAUCUGCAAAGGAAAAAAACAAACAAGAGUGAGUUAUAUACUUUCAAAAGAUGCUGCUUUGUGCAGGAGGAGCUCAUGAGCUUUCUUCCUCUACCCUGUGUCUACGAAUGCCUUUUUCAUCAAUACCCAGAUCGGUUAUCACUUGUUAUAGCUUACAAUUUCCUUCAUUUUUAUCCAAAUCACAACCUUUUUCCCGAUUCCGAGGAUUCAUCUCUGACCCACCUAAGAAAAAUCGGAGAUUUCUCUCCAAAGGCAGAGCUGCCACUGCUGGCCUGCAGGAGAACUCAAAGGAGGCUGAAGAAAAUUCCAAAUCAGAGGAAGUGAAAGAACUGGAGAAUUUUGCAGAGGAAUGGAGGAGAAAGAAAAUUGGGUGGCUCUGCAAGGAAUUGCCAGCACAUGAACCCGCUCCCAUGAUUAGACUCCUUAACAAGCAGCGGAAAUGGAUUAAGCAAGAGGAUGUUCAGUAUAUCAUCAACCAUCUUCUUCGCCUGCGAGAAAACAAUAUCAGUCACAGGGUGUAUGAAUGGAUGAGUAAGCAAGAGUGGUAUGAGUUUGACCUUGGCUUUGCAACUAAAUUGGCAGACUUUCUGGGGAAAGAUAUGAAAGUUGGAAGAUGCCGUGAUGUGUUUGACAAUAUAAUUAAUCGGGACCACAUUCCUUGUGAAUCUACAUUUAUAAUUCUUACAAUGGCUUACAUUGAAGCAGGAGAUAAAGGAUCUGUUCAUGAAGCCUUUAAUAUAUACAAUCAAAUGGUUCAGCUUGGAGGCUAUCAGCCUAGUCCCAGUUUACAGAAAUCUCUUUUCAAGGCUCUUUUACAUGGAACUGGAGGAACUGCCAAACAUUAUUUAAAGCAGGCAGAAGCUAUAUUUCAAAAUAUGCAAGCAGCAGGGUAUAAGAUAAAAAAAGAAAUAUAUGAAGGCUUGGUAUGGCUACACAGUUAUCAGGACUGCAUAGAUCGUGAAAGAAUUCAAUUUCUAAGGAAUAAUAUGAAAGAGUCGGGAAUCAAGGAAAGUGGAGAUUUUUUGAUCUCAAUUCUCAGGGUUUGCUCCAAAUGUACAGAUGUAAAAGAGGCAGAAAGCACUUGGGCAAUGCUCCUUAACACUAGAUAUAAAUUAACUUCUCAUCCUUUCGUGUAUCGCAUGGAAGUUUAUGCUAAGGCUGGACAGCCCAUGAAGUGUAUAGAGAUUUUCAAAGACAUGCAGGAGAAAGGGGUCCCUAUGAGUGUGAUUGCGUAUGAGAAAAUUAUUCGGGUAUUAUCAAAUGUUCAAGAAAAAGAGUAUGCUGAAAAUUAUAUGAAGCAAUUUGAGGAUAGUGGUCUGAAGCCUUUGCAGUCAUCCUAUGUUGACUUGAUGCAAAUGUAUAUGUCCUUGCGGAUGUACAAUAAAGUGGAAUCCACUUUUUCUCGAAGUAUAACAAAGUGUCGACCCAAAUGGAUAGCAUAUGAUUUAUAUCUUGAAUCUCUGAUCAAAUGUGGUGAGCUGGAAAAGGCCGAGGAAGUUUUUACAGGUUUGCAAAAGGAUAGUGCAAUGGGUGUCAAAGGAAAAACAUGCAACAUUAUGUUAGAAGGCUAUGUCAAUGCUGGUCAAGAAGCAAAGAUACAACAUUUGUAUGAUCAGAUGUGCAAUAGAAAAUAUAAUAUUGAUCCCUCAUUGAUGGAAAGAAUCAAACAUUCUAUUGGUAUGGUAAACGAAGACAUUAAUAGGUGUCUCAGCUUGACACUUACUGCAGAGCAACGGGAAAUUGUAACUGCCAUAUUAUUGUCUGGUGCCAUGUUAGAGUCACAUGAUAAAAACAAGACCUUUGAACUUCAUUUUGAGUUCAAUAAAAAACUUGAGUUCUGUGAUAUUUUGAAAACAAAUUUAUAUGCCAUAUUUUUUGAAUGGUUAAAAUCUCUGGAUCAAUUGAAUAUUCAAGUUGAGGAGGUGUCAAGGCAUUUUUCUACUGUCAAUCAUCGUAGUUUUCGAUUUUAUGCUGACCAUUUCAGACCAGGCGGGAAGAUGGCAGUUCCACGGCUUAUACACUGUUGGUUAUCUCCUCGUACUUUAGCAUACUGGUACAUGUAUGGAGGACGGAAGAGUGCAUCUGGAUAUAUUGUCUUUUAUGGAAUGAGCUACAGGGUCGAAGAGUGUGAAAUUAUUGCAAAGGCCUUAAAAGCAAAGUCAAUAAAUUGUGUCAUAAAGAGGUGCAGAAAGCUCUUUCAAAUAAGAUGUCAAGGUAAGGAUGCAAUGCGUCUUUGGAAGUUGAUGGAGCCAUACAUAUUGGAUGGGUUGAAAGAGGUAUUAAAACCUGAAGAUGGAUUUGCUGAAGGUGAAGCUCGAACAGAAGGGAUUGAUUUUGAAUCAGAGGAUGAGUAUAACAAUGACAGUUCUAGUUCAAGUAGUGAUACCAAAGUUCAGAAAGGGAUUGAAGAAAUUGCAAUAGUGUCCAAAAUGUACACAUAGAAAGUGGAAAGAGAAUUAACCUUUUUGGAUAAAGAAGUUAGCAACCAGAUCACAUUCCUAAAAUCUACAAGGUGCAGCAAUACUUUUCAAAGAGAGAGCAGUAAACCGUGACAUGAGUAAACAGAAACAUGCCAUUUCAUCUCUUUUACAAUCAUUUUAGUGUAGCAGGAACCAGUUGUGAUGAGUGCAGUCAUACAGCAAAUUUGGAUAAUUACAUGUGACCUUAAAUUUUGAUAUAAGCUACCUGUAGUGCUGCUUCCGCAACGGGUUAUAUCUGUUUCUACUGUGACUAUUUUUGUCCUUUCCAUCCUGGUGCAAGAUCUGGUGUCAUUAUUUUGGUAUAUCUCUAAACAGGCACAAUUUUCAACAAUAUGUGAUUGUUGUAUAAGGAUCUCAUUUUACCAUGCUUCCACACCUACGGUAACUAUUGGGUGUUGAUUUGUGCACCCAUUUCGGCAAUGAAUGCAACCUAAGAAUUUGUCAGCAGUCAAAUAUGGCACCCUAUAUGGAGAUAUUGAAUAUUUACGGGAAGUAUUAUCAAAGCGGAGGAUAAAGGAUAUAUUAUUGAAGCUUUAUUUAGUGUGUAUUUAGGGAUUCAAAUGUAAUUAUCUCUGUAAACCAAAGGGUGUGUCCUUUGGAAAAACAAUUGUCUGUAACUCCCUCCUGUAUGCGAAAGGGUGUGUCCUUUCACAUAUGUCUUUUGGAUUAGGUAUUUAUAGGGAGUCUUUUUCAAUUAAGAAAAGUGAUUCAAGACAAUUCACAAUUUGUCAGGCUGCCAAUAGGGGCUAUGGGAUGUCUGUAUUGGAGAAGUCUGUAGGAAUGGAAGUAUCAUUUUGAGAAAUCACUGUGUAAUGGAGUAUCUGUAAGUGUAGCUAUUGUAUGCA